CCUACGGGAGGCUGCAGUGGGGAAUAUUGCACAAUGGGCGCAAGCCUGAUGCAGCCAUGCCGCGUGUGUGAAGAAGGCCUUCGGGUUGUAAAGCACUUUCAGCGGGGAGGAAGGCGGUGAGGUUAAUAACCUCAUCGAUUGACGUUACCCGCAGAAGAAGCACCGGCAACUCCGUGCCAGCAGCCGCGGUAAUACGGAGGGUGCAAGCGUUAAUCGGAAUUACUGGGCGUAAAGCGCACGCAGGCGGUCUGUCAAGUCGGAUGUGAAAUCCCCGGGCUCAACCUGGGAACUGCAUUCGAAACUGGCAGGCUAGAGUCCUGUAGAGGGGGGUAGGAUUCCAGGUGUAGCGGUGAAAUGCGUAGAGAUCUGGAGGAAUACCGGUGGCGAAGGCGGCCCCCUGGACAAAGACUGACGCUCAGGUGCGAAAGCGUGGGGAGCAAACAGGAUUAGAUACCCGUGUAGUC
rnacentral:rRNA from 1 species